rnacentral:ncRNA from 1 species
CCGCCUCGAAGCUCCCUUCCCAACGGGCGGUGGGCUGAAUCCUUUGCAGACGACUUAAAUACGCGACGGGGCAUUGUAAGUGGCAGAGUGGCCUUGCUGCCACGAUCCACUGAGAUCCAGCCCCAUGUCGCACGGAUUCCA